UCCACAGCCCCAGCGCCACAGGCUCUUCCCUAGCCCCGGGACCACCCUCCCUCCCCGGGCUGAGGGAAGUAUCCCCAACCCUACUUCGUGCAGUGAACCACGGUCUGGCACUCAUCCGUGGUACCCCUUGAAACAAUUUCCCGUUUUACUGGAGGACCUGGAAGUUCUAGAUUUUGUAGGUUUCCUCAGGGUUGCACUGCUCAGUGUGGAACACUUGCAGUGAAAUGGCGAUGACUACUGAAUGUGUGCUGAGUGCAGUAUAUACCAAGUACUCUACACAUCUAUAUUCAGUCAGAGACCAGUGAAUCUUGCCAGAAUGUACAAUGUUAGAAGGAAUGCUAAAAGCACAUUCCUAACCCAGAAGAACAUGCAUGAAAAAGUGUGAAUUCAGAAGAACCCGAGGAGUUAAUGAAAAUGAAGAUGGAGGAGUCUGGUUUUUAAGAUUGCACAUAGCAGGAAAGAAGACGAAUAACUAGAGCUGAUAAACCUUUAAGGUUAA